ACGGAAGGCAGCAGUGAGGAAUAUUGGUCAAUGGGCGAGAGCCUGAACCAGCCAAGUAGCGUGAAGGAAGACGGCCCUACGGGUUGUAAACUUCUUUUGUCCGGGGGUAAAGUGAGCCACGCGUGGUUCAUUGCAAGUACCGGUUGAAUAAGCAUCGGCUAACUCCGUGCCAGCAGCCGCGGUAAUACGGAGGAUGCGAGCGUUAUCCGGAUUUAUUGGGUUUAAAGGGAGCGUAGGCUGGCUGUUAAGUCAGCGGUUAAAUAGUGUGGCUCAACCAUGCCAUGCCGUUGAAACUGGCAGUCUUGAGUGCGCAAGAGGUGGAUGGAAUUUAGGGUGUAGCGGUGAAAUGCUUAGAUAUGACACAGAACACCGAUUGCGAAGGCAGCGUACUGGGACGCGACUGACGCUGAGGCACGAAAGUGCGGGGAUCGAACAGGAUUAGAUACCCUGGUA
rnacentral:rRNA from 1 species